AGUCUCUGGAUAUAGACCCGAAACCGAGUGAUCUAGCCAUGGGCAGGUUGAAGAUUGAGUAACAUCAAUUGGAGGACCGAACCGACUAAUGUUGAAAAAUUAGCGGAUGACUUGUGGCUAGGGGUGAAAGGCCAAUCAAACUCGGAGAUAGCUGGUUCUCCCCGAAAGCUAUUUAGGUAGCGCCUCGGACGAAUACUACUGGGGGUAGAGCACUGUUAAGGCUAGGGGGUCAUCCCGACUUACCAACCCUUUGCAAACUCCGAAUACCAGUAAGUACUAUCCGGGAGACACACGGCGGGUGCUAACGUCCGUCGUGGAGAGGGAAACAACCCAGACCGCCAGCUAAGGUCCCAAAUUACUACUAAGUGGGAAACGAUGUGGGAAGGCUCAGACAGCCAGGAUGUUGGCUUAGAAGCAGCCAUCAUUUAAAGAAAGCGUAAUAGCUCACUGGUCGAGUCGGCCUGCGCGGAAGAUGUAACGGGGCUAAGUAGUAAACCGAAGCUGCGGCUGCAAUCGUAAGAUUGUGGGGUAGGGGAGCGUUCUGUAAGCCGUUGAAGGUGUGUUGUAAAGCAUGCUGGAGGUAUCAGAAGUGCGAAUGCUGACAUGAGUAACGAUAAUGGGGGUGAAAAACCCCCACGCCGGAAGACCAAGGGUUCCUGUCCAACGUUAAUCGGGGCAGGGUAAGUCGACCCCUAAGGCGAGGCUGAAAAGCGUAGUCGAUGGGAAACGGGUUAAUAUUCCCGUACUGCUUAUAAUUGCGAUGGGGGGACGGAGAAGGCUAGGUGGGCCUGGCGACGGUUGUCCAGGUUCAAGUGCGUAGGCUAAGAGACUAGGUAAAUCCGGUUUCUUGUUAGGCUGAGACACGACGUCGAGCACCUACGGGUGUGAAGUCAUUGAUGCCAUGCUUCCAGGAAAAGCCUCUAAGCUUCAGAUUAUAAGCAAUCGUACCCCAAACCGACACAGGUGGUCGGGUAGAGAAUACCAAGGCGCUUGAGAGAACUCGGGUGAAGGAACUAGGCAAAAUGGUACCGUAACUUCGGGAGAAGGUACGCUCUUGGCGGUGAAGUCCCUAGCGGAUGGAGCUACUGAGAGUCGCAGAUACCAGGUGGCUGCAACUGUUUAUUAAAAACACAGCACUGUGCAAAAUCGUAAGAUGACGUAUACGGUGUGACGCCUGCCCGGUGCCGGAAGGUUAAUUGAUGGGGUUAGACUUCGGUCGAAGCUCUUGAUCGAAGCCCCGGUAAACGGCGGCCGUAACUAUAACGGUCCUAAGGUAGCGAAAUUCCUUGUCGGGUAAGUUCCGACCUGCACGAAUGGCGUAAUGAUGGCCACGCUGUCUCCACCCGAGACUCAGUGAAAUUGAAAUCGCUGUGAAGAUGCAGUGUACCCGCGGCUAGACGGAAAGACCCCGUGAACCUUUACUACAGCUUGGCACUGAACAUUGAACCUACAUGUGUAGGAUAGGUGGGAGACUUAGAAGCGCAGUCGCUAGAUUGCGUGGAGUCGUCCUUGAAAUACCACCCUUGUAGUUUUGAUGUUCUAACGUAGGCCCCUAAUCGGGGUUGCGGACAGUGCCUGGUGGGUAGUUUGACUGGGGCGGUCUCCUCCCAAAGAGUAACGGAGGAGCACGAAGGUGGGCUAAACACGGUUGGACAUCGUGUGGUUAGUGCAAUGGCAUAAGCCCGCUUAACUGCGAGAAUGACAAUUCGAGCAGGUACGAAAGUAGGUCAUAGUGAUCCGGUGGUUCUGAAUGGAAGGGCCAUCGCUCAACGGAUAAAAGGUACUCCGGGGAUAACAGGCUGAUACCGCCCAAGAGUUCAUAUCGACGGCGGUGUUUGGCACCUCGAUGUCGGCUCAUCACAUCCUGGGGCUGAAGUCGGUCCCAAGGGUAUGGCUGUUCGCCAUUUAAAGUGGUACGCGAGCUGGGUUUAGAACGUCGUGAGACAGUUCGGUCCCUAUCUGCCGUGGGCGUUGGAAGAUUGAAGGGGGCUGCUCCUAGUACGAGAGGACCGGAGUGGACGAACCUCUGGUGUUCGGGUUGUUACGCCAGUAGCAUUGCCCGGUAGCUAAGUUCGGAAUCGAUAACCGCUGAAAGCAUCUAAGCGGGAAGCGAGCCCUGAGAUGAGUCUUCCCUGGCACUUUAAGUGUCCUAAAGGGUUGUUC
rnacentral:rRNA from 1 species